AUUGAACGCUGGCGGCAGGCCUAACACAUGCAAGUCGAGCGAGCGGCGGACGGGUGAGUAAUGUAUGGGGACUGCCCGAUAGAGGGGGAUAACUACUGGGAACGGUGGCUAAUACCGCAUACUAUCGGAUAACCCAUAUGGGAUUGGCUAGUAGGGGGGGUAAAGGCUCACCUAGGCGACGAUCUCUAGCUGGUCUGAGAGGAUGAUAGGCCAAACUGGGACGUAGAGACGGCCAAGACUCCCACGGAGGAAGCAGUGGGGAAUAUGGCACAAUGGGCGAAAGCGUGAUGCAGCCAUGCCGCGUGUAUGAAGAAGGCCUUAGGGUUGUAAAGUACUUUCAGCGGGGAGGCGUUACCCGCAGAAGAAGCACCGGCUAACUCCGUGCCAGCAGCCGCGGUAAUUC
rnacentral:rRNA from 1 species